UACGAGGGGGGCAAGCGUUGUUCGGAUUUAUUGGGCGUAAAGGGUGCGUAGGCGGUUUGGCAAGUCUUGUGUGAAAUCUUCGGGCUCAACCCGAAGCCUGCACAAGAAACUGCCGGGCUUGAGUAUGGGAGAGGUGAGUGGAAUUUCCGGUGUAGCGGUGAAAUGCGUAGAUAUCGGAAGGAACCCCAGAGGCGAAGGCGGCAGCCUGGUUGGUAUCUGACGCUCGGACACGACAGCAUGGGGAGCGAACGGG
rnacentral:rRNA from 1 species